rnacentral:rRNA from 1 species
GUCCAUGCCCUAAACGAUGGAUGCUCGACAUUGGAAGUCUCGACCCUUUCAGUGUCCUAAGCUUACGCGUUAAGCAUCCCGCCUGGGAAGUACGGUCGCAAGACUAAAACUCAAAAGGAAUUGACGGGGACCCGCACAAGCGGUGGAGCAUGUGGUUUAAUUCGACAAUAAGCGAAGAACCUUACCAGGCCUUGAAAUGCUACUGCAAGCGCACGGAAACGUGUGACCUUGAGGGUGUAGUACAGGUGCUGCAUGGCUGUCGU